CAGUAGCCGCGGUAAUACGAAGGGUGCAAGCGUUACUCGGAAUUACUGGGCGUAAAGCGUGCGUAGGUGGUGGUUUAAGUCCGUUGUGAAAGCCCUGGGCUCAACCUGGGAAUUGCAGUGGAUACUGGGUCACUAGAGUGUGGUAGAGGAUAGUGGAAUUUCCGGUGUAGCAGUGAAAUGCGUAGAGAUCGGAAGGAACAUCUGUGGCGAAGGCGACUAUCUGGGCCAACACUGACACUGAGGCACGAAAGCGUGGGGAGCAAACAGGAUUAGAUACCCGAGUAGUCCCUGUCUCUUAUAC
rnacentral:rRNA from 1 species